ACGGGACUUUCAGGGGC
rnacentral:miRNA from 1 species